GAGUUUGAUCUUGGCUCAGAUUGAACGCUGGCGGCAUGCCUUACACAUGCAAGUCGAACGGCAGCACGGGAGCUUGCUCCUGGUGGCGAGUGGCGAACGGGUGAGUAAUGCAUCGGAACGUAUCCUGGAGUGGGGGAUAACGUAGCGAAAGUUACGCUAAUACCGCAUAUUCUGUGAGCAGGAAGCGGGGACCUUCGGGCCUCGCGCUCUUGGAGCGGCCGAUGUCGGAUUAGCUAGUUGGUGAGGUAAAGGCUCACCAAGGCGACGAUCCGUAGCAGGCCUGAGAGGAUGAUCUGCCACACUGGAACUGAGACACGGUCCAGACUCCUACGGGAGGCAGCAGU
rnacentral:rRNA from 1 species